AAUCACAGGUGCAUCCCUCCCAAUGUCGACUUCAGUAUGUCAGACUGACUCCAGUGGUUGCUACCUUUGAUAUUCCUCUGCUGCUGUUGGUACUUCCUUCCCCCACAUCCUGUCACUAAAGGUCUGAGAGGCAUGAGGACAGAACUUGAUAUUUGAGGACAAGUUCUGCCCUUUGAUGAAGGUGAAAAAGAUGUUUUCGAGUGAGGGGUGGUACAGGAAGGAGUUGAGGAAUGUGGUUUCACUGCAUAUUCUCCAUGCAAGUAAGAAGGAAGAAGAAAGAAAAAAAAAAAAAAAAAAAAGAACAUUUUAUUCUUUGAGAGUAAAAAGUCCUUCCACAAGGCUGAAGUCACUCUUUCUGUGCAGUAGUAGAGGCAGCAGCAAUGGGUAAACUCCAGGCAUGUUUACCACCACUUUUUCUCCAUUUGCGAU